rnacentral:rRNA from 1 species
CUACGUGCCAGCAGCCGCGGUAAUACGUAGGUGGCAAGCGUUGUCCGGAAUUAUUGGGCGUAAAGCGCGCGCAGGCGGAUCAGUCAGUCUGUCUUAAAAGUUCGGGGCUUAACCCCGUGAUGGGAUGGAAACUGCUGAUCUAGAGUAUCGGAGAGGAAAGUGGAAUUCCUAGUGUAGCGGUGAAAUGCGUAGAUAUUAGGAAGAACACCAGUGGCGAAGGCGACUUUCUGGACGAAAACUGACGCUGAGGCGCGAAAGCCAGGGGAGCGAACGGGAUUAGAUACCCCGGUAGUCCUGGCCGUAAACGAUGGGUACUAGGUGUAGGAGGUAUCGACCCCUUCUGUGCCGGAGUUAACGCAAUAAGUACCCCGCCUGGGGAGUACGACCGCAAGGUUGAAACUCAAAGGAAUUGACGGGGGCCCGCACAAGCGGUGGAGUAUGUGGUUUAAUUCGACGCAACGCGAAGAACCUUACCAGGUCU